rnacentral:rRNA from 1 species
CCUACGGGAGGCUGCAGUGGGGAAUAUUGGACAAUGGGGGGAACCCUGAUCCAGCCAUGCCGCGUGUGUGAAGAAGGCCCUCGGGUUGUAAAGCACUUUCAGUGAGGAAGAACGCCUGGUGGUUAAUACCCAUCAGGAAAGACAUCACUCACAGAAGAAGCACCGGCUAACCCCGUGCCAGCAGCCGCGGUAAUACGGAGGGUGCGAGCGUUAAUCGGAAUUACUGGGCGUAAAGCGCGCGUAGGUGGCUUGAUAAGCCGGUUGUGAAAGCCCCGGGCUCAACCUGGGAACGGCAUCCGGAACUGUCAAGCUAGAGUGCAGGAGAGGAAGGUAGAAUUCCCGGUGUAGCGGUGAAAUGCGUAGAGAUCGGGAGGAAUACCAGUGGCGAAGGCGGCCUUCUGGACUGACACUGACACUGAGGUGCGAAAGCGUGGGUAGCAAACAGGAUUAGAUACCCCUGUAGUC